AGUAGGCAAGCUGCGGAGGGACGCAGUGAGGUAGCUCAUCCCCGGUGAUGGUUGUCCGGGGCUAAGUGUGUGGACUGUCUGGUAGGUAAAUCCGCUGGGCGUGAAGGUUGAGGCAUGAUGGGGAGCCCACGGUUGUGGGUGAGUGAGUGAUCCUGUACUGUCGAGAAAAGCUUCGUGAGCGAGGUGGCGGGUCCGCCCGUACCCUAAACCGACACUGGUGGAUAGGUAGAGUAUACCGAGGCGAUCGAGUGAAUCGUGGUGAAGGAACUCGGCAAAAUGCCCCCGUAACUUUGGGAUAAGGGGGACCUGAGCUGUCGUGCACCCGUGCGGUGUGGUGGCGGUGAGGGGCGCAGAGUCCAGGGGGAAACGACUGUUUACCAAAAACACAGGUCCGUGCGAAGUCGUAAGACGAUGUAUACGGACUGACUCCUGCCCGGUGCUGGAAGGUUAAGGGGAACUGUGAGUGUGAUGCGUAGCGGUGAACUUAAGCCCCAGUAAACGGCGGUGGUAACUAUAACCAUCCUAAGGUAGCGAAAUUCCUUGUCGGGUAAGUUCCGACCUGCACGAAUGGAGUAACGAUUUCCCUACUGUCUCCACCAUGAACUCGGUGAAAUUGCAUUACGAGUAAAGAUGCUCGUUACGCGCAGCAGGACGGAAAGACCCCGGGACCUUUACUAUAGUUUGGUAUUGGUGAUUGGGACGGUUUGUGUAGGAUAGGUGGGAGACGUUGAUGCGGCCACGCUAGUGGUGGUGGAGUCGUUGGUGAAAUACCACUCUGAUUGUUCUGGUUAUCUCACUGUGGACCGUGAUCCGGUUCAAGGACAGUGCCUGAUGGGUAGUUUGACUGGGGCGGUCGCCUCCUAAAGGGUAACGGAGGCGCCCAAAGGUUCCCUCAUCCUGGUUGGUAAUCAGGUGGUGAGUGUAAGUGCACAAGGGGGCUUGACUGUGAGACUGACAGGUCGAGCAGGGACGAAAGUCGGGACUAGUGAUCUGACGGUGGCUUGUGGAUGCGCCGUCACUCAACGGAUAAAAGGUACCCCGGGGAUAACAGGCUGAUCUUGCCCGAGCGCUCAUAGCGACGGCAUGGUUUGGCACCUCGAUGUCGGCUCGUCGCAUCCUGGGGCUGGAGUCGGUCCCAAGGGUUGGGCUGUUCGCCCAUUAAAGCGGCACGCGAGCU
rnacentral:rRNA from 1 species